AUUCCAGCUCCAAUAGCGAAUACUAAUUCUGCUGCAGUUAAAAAGCUCGUAGUUGAACUUCUGGUAGGACAGAUCCGGCCUUUGGAUGAAUGUCCAUUGUAUGCUGUGUGUCUUGUCUGGCCAUCCUUUAUGUCUUUUAGGCGUAAUCUUUCACUGUAAAAAAAUUAGGGUGUUUCAAGCAAAAGUUAUUUGGAAUAUAUUAGUAUGGGAUGAUAAGAUAGGCUCUUGAGUGCUACUUCGUUGGUUUAUACACUUAGAGAAUGAUUAACAGGGACAGUUGGGGGUAUUCAUAUUUACAUGUCGGAGGUGAAAUUCUUGGAUUUGUUAAAGACGGACUACUGCGAAAGCAUUUGCCAAGGAUGUUUUCAUCA
rnacentral:rRNA from 1 species